rnacentral:rRNA from 1 species
AUUGAACGCUGGCGGCAGGCCUAACACAUGCAAGUCGAGCGAGUGGCGGACGGGUGAGUACUGUCUGGGAAACUGCCUGCUGGAGGGGGAUAAAUACUGGAAACGGUAGCUAAUACCGCAUACCAUCAGAUGUGGCCAGAUGGGAUUAGCUUGUGGGGGGGGUAACGGCCCACCUAGGCGACGAUCCCUAGCUGGUCUGAGAGGAUGACCAGCCACACUGGAACUGAGACACGGUCCAGACUCCUACGGGAGGCAGUAGUGGGGAAUAUUGCACAAUGGGCGCAAGCCUGAUGCAGCCAUGCCGCGUGUGUGAAGAAGGCCUUCGGGUUGUAAAGCACUGUCAGCGGGGAGGCGUUACCCGCAGAAGAAGCACCGGCUAACUCCGUGCCAGCAGCCGCGGUAAUUC